rnacentral:rRNA from 1 species
UGCCAGACUCCUACGGGAGGCAGCAGUGGGGAAUAUUGGGCAAUGGGCGCAAGCCUGACCCAGCAACGCCGCGUGAAGGAAGAAGGCUUUCGGGUUGUAAACUUCUUUUGACAGGGAAGAGUAGAAGACGGUACCUGUCGAAUAAGCCACGGCUAACUACGUGCCAGCAGCCGCGGUAAUACGUAGGGAGCAAGCGUUGUCCGGAAUUACUGGGCGUAAAGGGCGCGUAGGUGGGCGCUUAAGUCAGGUGUGAAAACUCCGGGCUCAACCUGGAGACUGCACUUGAAACUGGGUGUCUUGAGGGCAGGAGAGGAAAGUGGAAUUCCUAGUGUAGCGGUGAAAUGCGUAGAUAUUAGGAGGAACACCAGUGGCGAAGGCGGUCUGCUGGACAGCAACUGACGCUGAGGCGCGAAAGCGUGGGGAGCAAACAGGAUUAGAUACCCUUGUA